UUUCACCGUUAAAGUUAUCGGAGUUGGACUUUGGACUCGAAUACCUAAAGGCUUAACUGACCGUGAAAAAUAUGGAAGUGCUAAAACUGCCUUUACAGGUUCGAGAACAGUUGAUGAAAGCGGAAAACGAAAUUAAAGAUAAAUACUUAAACGUUGUUCGUUCUCUGUCUUUCUGUGAUCUUAAGAAGUUUGAUAAAGUUAAAUACAAAGACAUCAUGAUAUCUGAAC
rnacentral:lncRNA from 1 species